GUGGGAACGUGCCCAGAUCUAAGGAAUAGCCACUGGAAACGGUGAGUAAUACCUUAUACGCCCUUCGGGGGAAAGAUUUAUCGGAUUUGGAUCGGCCCGCGUUAGAUUAGGUGGUUGGUGGGGUAAUGGCCUACCAAGCCUACGAUCUAUAGCUGGUUUUAGAGGAUGAUCAGCAACACUGGGACUGAGACACGGCCCAGACCCUACGGGAGGCAGCAGUGGGGAAUCUUGGACAAUGGGCGCAAGCCUGAUCCAGCCAUGCCGCGUGAGUGAUGAAGGCCCUAGGGUCGUAAAGCUCUUUCGCCUGUGAAGAUAAUGACGGUAGCAGGUAAAGAAACCCCGGCUAACUCCGUGCCAGCAGCCGCGGUAAUACGGAGGGGGUUAGCGUUGUUCGGAAUUACUGGGCGUAAAGCGCGCGUAGGCGGAUUAGUAAGUCAGAGGUGAAAUCCCAGGGCUCAACCCUGGAACUGCCUUUGAUACUGCUAGUCUUGAGUUCGAGAGAGGUAAGUGGAAUUCCGAGUGUAGAGGUAAAAUUCGUAGAUAUUCGGAG
rnacentral:rRNA from 1 species